rnacentral:rRNA from 1 species
UACGAAGGGGGCUAGCGUUGCUCGGAAUCACUGGGCGUAAAGCGCACGUAGGCGGGUCUUAAGUCAGGGGUGAAAUCCUGGAGCUCAACUCUGGAACUGCCUUUGAUACUGGGUAUCUUGAGUAUGGAAGAGGUUAGUGGAAUUGCGAGUGUAGAGGUGAAAUUCGUAGAUAUUCGCAGGAACACCAGUGGCGAAGGCGGCUAACUGGUCCAUAACUGACGCUGAGGCGCGAAAAGCGUGGGGAGCAAACAGG